rnacentral:rRNA from 1 species
AUUGAACGCUGGCGGCAUGCCUUACACAUGCAAGUCGAACGGUAACGGGUCCUUCGGGAUGCCGACGAGUGGCGAACGGGUGAGUAAUAUAUCGGAACGUGCCCAGUAGUGGGGGAUAACUGCUCGAAAGAGCAGCUAAUACCGCAUACGACCUGAGGGUGAAAGGGGGGGAUCGCAAGACCUCUCGCUAUUGGAGCGGCCGAUAUCAGAUUAGCUAGUUGGUGGGGUAAAGGCCUACCAAGGCAACGAUCUGUAGUUGGUCUGAGAGGACGACCAGCCACACUGGGACUGAGACACGGCCCAGACUCCUACGGGAGGCAGAAGGGGGGAAUUUUGGACAAUGGGCGCAAGCCUGAUCCAGCAAUGCCGCGUGCAGGAAGAAGGCCUUCGGGUUGUAAACUGCUUUUGUCAGGGAAGAAAUCUUCUGGGCUAAUACCCCGGGAGGAUGACGGUACCUGAAGAAUAAGUACCGGCUAACUACGUGCCAGCAGCCGCGGUAA